rnacentral:rRNA from 1 species
GCCAGACUCCUACGGGAGGCAGCAGUGGGGAAUAUUGCACAAUGGGCGCAAGCCUGAUGCAGCCAUGCCGCGUGUGUGAAGAAGGCCUUCGGGUUGUAAAGCACUUUCAGCGGGGAGGAAGGCAAUAAGGUUAAUAACCUUGUUGAUUGACGUUACCCGCAGAAGAAGCACCGGCUAACUCCGUGCCAGCAGCCGCGGUAAUACGGAGGGUGCAAGCGUUAAUCGGAAUUACUGGGCGUAAAGCGCACGCAGGCGGUCUGUCAAGUCGGAUGUGAAAUCCCCGGGCUCAACCUGGGAACUGCAUUCGAAACUGGCAGGCUAGAGUCUUGUAGAGGGGGGUAGAAUUCCAGGUGUAGUGGUGAAAUGCGUAGAGAUAUGGAGGAAUACCGGUGGCGAAGGCGGCCCCCUGGACAAAGACUGACGCUCAGGUGCGAAAGCGUGGGGAGCAAACAGGAUUAGAUACCCGAGUAGCC